rfam:TPA: Bos taurus chromosome 25, whole genome shotgun sequence.
UCCCUGGAGGUCCAGUGGUUAAGACUCUGAGCUUCCAAUGCAGAGAGUGCAGGUUCAAUCCCUAGUCAGGGAA